CUUGUUUUUUCUUUUCUACUGAUUCAUUUCUAGCCGCUUCUUUUCUUCUUCUCACUCUCACUCACAGCAGCAGCGAUUCAUCAUCCACCCACACCACCUCCCUCAUGAUCUUAAUUACACCACCACGUUACCAACGAGCACAGCAACAAGUAACUGAACCAUGGAAGAACCAAGUCAAGACACACCUACACCUCAAACUGAAGUUGGAUCAUCUAAUAUAACUAGUCAAUCUACACCUGGAGUUGGAGCUUAAUCUACACCUGCUAAUGAAGUUAUAGUAAUAAAAGAUAAUGAAAACAAAGAGAAGCCUAAAGUUACAUCUGACUUAUGGAAUCAAUUCACAAUGGUAGGUGCAGAGAGAGCAAAAUAUCAUCAUUGUUUGCGCACCUUUGCUGCUAACACAUGCAUAAAUGGCACUUUUGUCUUGUGGGCUCAUUUGGAUAGAUGCCGUAGCAAUCCAAACAAGAAGAAGAAAGGACAGAAUUUUCCUCCCCCAAACCAGGUCAGCAUAGUCAGUUAGUCGCUUAUAUUUAUAAUCCUGAAAAGUGUAUAAGGAUGUUAGUUGAAUUCAUAAUCAAAGAUGAAUGCCAUUUAAAAAGUUAGAAAGAGAAGGGUUUAGGGAUUUUUGUCAGAUGUUGGAACCUAGAUUCAAGGUCCCUGGUCGCAUGACUAUUUAUAGGGAUCUUUUGAUAAUCUACAUGGAUGAGAAAAAGAUUUUGAAAGAUUAUCAAGGCAUCCAAACAGAGGGUGUCUUUGACUACUGAUACAUGGACUUCACCCAACGAUUUCAAUUAUAUGUGUGUAACCGUUUAUUAUGGUGAUCAGAAUUGGAAGUUGCAAGAGAGAAUUAUCUUGUUUUGCCAGGUGAAA